rnacentral:rRNA from 1 species
GGCCUAAUACAUGCAAGUCGAGCGGGUCCUUCGGGAUUAGCGGCGGACGGGUGAGUAACGCGUGGGAACGUGCCCUUUGGUACGGAACAACUGAGGGAAACUUCAGCUAAUACCGUAUGUGCCCUUCGGGGGAAAGAUUUAUCGCCAUUGGAGCGGCCCGCGUUGGAUUAGGUAGUUGGUGAGGUAAAGGCUCACCAAGCCUACGAUCCAUAGCUGGUCUGAGAGGAUGACCAGCCACACUGGGACUGAGACACGGCCCAGACUCCUACGGGAGGCAGCAGUAGGGAAUCUUGCGCAAUGCCCGAAAGGGUGACGCAGCGACGCCGCGUGAAGGAUGAAGACCCUAUGGGUUGUAAACUUC